CGGACCCCUCCGUGUACCCGCCGCCAGCGUUUGCCUGGCCCUCGUCGCUCCUCAUCCAUCGGUGCCCGCCGUGCCCAAAUCCGCCCGUGAAUUCCGCGCGAGGAUCGCGGCCGGCGUGAUCCCAUCCCAAUCCGUCAAACUUCCCGUCUGCAACCGCAGCGCCGCCCCUCCUCUCCCACCGCCCUCCUCCCCAUGUGCAGGCCGCAGCGCCGCCCCUCGAUCCCCUCCAUCGCCUUCCUCCCCGUCCGCAGGCCGCAGCGCCGCCCCCAUCCCCAUCCAUGGCGGCCGGCGGCUUGGAGAGCAGGGGCGGACGGCGGGCGGAGGCAUCUCCGGAGGGGGAGGGGGGCACGCCGCGCUGCGCCGUGUGCUGGACGCGCUCCGGCGGGCCGGCGGACCGAGGAGAUCCAGAUGGAGGCGGACUCCGUCGUCGAGGAAGCCCGUGCCAAGGCCGUCUCGGCUAUCAAUGACCUCCCGCGGGGCCGCCGGCCCGAGAAGAUCCGGAUAGAGGCGGACUCCAUCGCCGAGGAGGUUCGUGCUUCGCCGUGUGCCUCGGCGACGUCGCGGCGGCCGAGAUGCUCGUGGCGGCCCAGCCAUGGCAGCAGCAACAGCAGGCGGCGGCGAUUGUGGAGGGGCCCUCGCCGCGCUGCUGGAGCGGUGCGGUGGCGCCUUGCCGUUUCUCCAGGCGACCGUCGGCGUCUUGCUUGCCGGUCAGGCCUAUUUCGUGACCCGUCCGUGGUGAGCAAGGUCUGGGCGAUGGCGACGACCGCUAGGGCUGAUGUGGAGGCCAAGGAGAGGGCGGCCAGGGAGGCGAAGACGAAGGCGGAGGUGGAAGGCAGCGGCUGGCGCGGAGAAGGCGGCCAAUUCUGUGGCGGCGGCGGACAAGCCAGAGAGCUCGGCAGAGAAGGACAGCAGAGGUGCAUAAGAAGGAGGGCAACAUGAGACGGAGUUGUUUACUGGCAACGUCCUGAGUCAGCUACGAAUAAGAUUGAAAGAAUCAUCAGGGAACCGGUGGUCAGUAGAUAUGGUUCUGAUGAUGGACUUCUAGAACAUCGUGAAGCACUUCUUGAAAAGCUAUGCAGAGAGAAUAAGCUUACCAAGUCAUCAGUUAUGGUCACUGCUGGUGCAAAUCAGGUUUUUGUGAACUUGGUCCUUACUCCUUGUGAUGCUGGUGAUUCUGUUGUCAUGCUUGCUCCAUAUUAUUUCAACGCCUGCAUGACAUUCCAGAUGGCCGUUUUUUACUGACAUAUUAGUUGGGAUUGUGACCCCAAGACACUUCAUUCUGAUGUUGGUGAGAUUACUAUCCUUUUGUAAGUCUAUGCUACCAUUUAGCUGGUGAGAGGAAUAUGCAUUUGAAAUGCAAUACCAAUGCAUUUAGUAUAAGAAAUUAUGUAUUGACUAUGAUACAUUCUCACCGUCACCUAUGACCUAAAUGCAGAUAAAAGUUCUUGGUUAAUUCUAUGGUAAGUAAUUUAAUAAUUUGUGGUGGUCAUCUAUGCCAGGUUGUAUCCUACACCAGGUUUAAUAUGCCAGGACGUGGAUGUGAAGCAUUGUUUUUUUUUUCCUAUUUUGCAGUGGUCAUUUCUUCACUACAAAGUGCAAAGCAAGAUGCAGAUACAGAUAUAUGAUGAUCUAUGUUGUACAAAAGGUAAAAUGAGCUCGAAUGUGCUUUUUUCUUGAGCUCCAAUGGCCACCAGAGGAUCCUUGACAUACAGAGGAUUUCCAUCUAAUCUGUGGCUCGGGUUCAGAUACAACAGCCCUGGUUCAAGAGUAUCUCAAGUUUCAUGUUCUAUUUCCAUCUCAAAGGCAGUUUGCUACUUAAACAAUCAUGAAGAGGACUAUAUAUAAGGGUGGAAUUCUGCAAUUUCAGGAUGGUGAUCCUUCCUCUAUUGUUUCAGUUGCUUGUGAUGUUGUCAUCUACACUGCUAAUAACCGUAAUGUCCAUUGUGUAACCGAGGUGACUAAAGGGGGAAGGCUCACCCUGACCCUUUGGUUCACUAGAGACCACGGUGACUGAAGCGGAAAGGCUCACCCUGACUCUUUGGUUCACUAGAGACCACACUAAUAAUGAGGCUCCAAAACUCCUUACUUUUUUUCUCUCAGACAUCAUUGAGCUCUGAAUCAGCUGAGCAAAAAUCUUAUAUUCCUAUGCGAGCCUCUGAUAACAUGUAUUGGUUUUCCUGUGAUCAAUCUGGCUUUGACAUAUGAUGUGCUAGAGUGCAUGUCCUUGGCUUUUAAGUUUCACUCAAGCAGUGGUGAAUACAGUACUUCUGUGUUGCCAGAUGAAGAAAACCCGAUAGAGAUGUUUGGGAAGCAACUGCGGCCCGUGAGGGGAGAUGAUAUCUUUGAGAAAAUGUUUUCUAGCAGCCUGCAUGCUCUUCAGGCAUAUUCCAUUUUAGAUCCUUUGCUGGAAACGAGUAUAAUCAUUGGCUUAUUGAAUAUGAGAAGGAUGUAAAGAGAAACCACAUGCUUGUUGUGCAUACUGCAUACGUUCACCAUCUUGCCAGUUCUAUGGUUCACUCUGGGGCUGAUUGAUUCGCUGCAUCUCGGCCAACCAAACCCGCCGGAUGCAGGUAAGUCGUGAUUGGUUGCCUGGAGGGGGUACGUGGCCUGGCUCCGCUGGUGCGAGAGAACGGAAACCAAACAAUAGGUAUCUGCACCUCGAACGCCUGGCCGGCGGGGGCCUGUCUCUCCGAUGCGCGAGCCAGGCUCGCUAGAGGAGACAACCAAUCAUGGCCUCUAAUUUCAGCCAUGUCAAAAGUACUUGGAGCAAAAUAUCACUUCUGAAUUUAGAUUUUGUCACUUCACUUCUGAAUUUGUAUUUCUCUUUAGGUUAAGUAAAGUACAGGCAGAAACACAUUUGAUCUUAAAUGGCUGAUUUCAUGUGGUUGGUGGAGUGAGAUAUCUUCCUGAAUCUUUAAUUUGUCAAAUUCUUUAUUUGUGAACUCUACAUCGGUACAUCCAUAUC